rnacentral:rRNA from 1 species
GACGAACGCUGGCGGCGUGCUUAACACAUGCAAGUCGAGCGGAAAGGCCCUUCGGGGUACUCGAGCGGCGAACGGGUGAGUAACACGUGAGUAACCUGCCCCAGACUUUGGGAUAACCCUCGGAAACGGGGGCUAAUACCGGAUACGACACAGCUUCGCAUGGGGUCUGUGUGGAAAGUUUUUCGGUUUGGGAUGGGCUCGCGGCCUAUCAGCUUGUUGGUGGGGUAUGGCCUACCAAGGCGACGACGGGUAGCCGGCCUGAGAGGGCGACCGGCCACACUGGGACUGAGACACGGCCCAGACUCCUACGGGAGGCAGCAGUGGGGAAUAUUGCACAAUGGGCGGAAGCCUGAUGCAGCGACGCCGCGUGAGGGAUGACGGCCUUCGGGUUGUAAACCUCUUUCAGCAGGGACGAAGCGUAAGUGACGGUACCUGCAGAAGAAGCGCCGGCCAACUACGUG